CUGGAACCACACUUGCCUGCCUGGCUUUAUGACAUUCUACCCGGGCAGAGAGUUCUGAAAGGAAGCAAAACUCAUGUCUUAAUGAUGGAAAUCUCAUGAAGAGUUCUGAAGGAAAUCUACUUAAAAUAUUCCUUGAAGUAUAAGGAGGUGCUUAGUGCAUGCCCAGUAGGUGGGGAAUUCUACAGCAGAGGGGCAAUGGGGAGGAAAGAACAAUGGAAUCUUGUAGGUGUCUGCAUAGGCAGAGUGUCACAGUGCAUGUAAUUCUCUUUCCAUGGCAUGGAGAGGUAGGACAGUGCUAUCAGUUUGCAAAUUGCCCUACAAAAUGGAAGUGUUGCAACACACUUAAGGAUUAAAACAAAGACCCCAUCCAAAGGACUGAACUGGAAACUCCUCAAAACUCUCAGGGCAGCUUAUCACUUGAUCACUCUCCAUUUCUAGAUGACAUGGGUGAAUGAUGGUACUGAAGAGGUUAUGGAGUCUCCCUCACUGUGCAUAUUAAAAAACUGUCUGAAAGCUGUCACGGUUUAGGAAUGGUAUUCUCCAAUUAAGUCUUCCCACAGAAACCACUCCAAGCCAGGCACUUGCUUGUUCCCUCCUUUCACUUCUUCUCCCCUGCAAUGGAAUGAAAAGGAGAAUUGGAGGAACAAAGGGUAUAAAGAUCAUGGGUUGAAAUAAGGGCAAUUUACUGGAAACAGCAAUCAGUAAGAAAAACAGUAAGAACAGCAAUAAUGACAGAGGGUCCAAGAAAAGAAACGUCAUUGCUCACUGUGGAAACCUCCAGCAAUAGGAAAUACCCAACUGCUCCCUCUGCCACGCUACCCCACUGCUUCCAGCUCAGAUCCAGCACUAUCCAACCACUCCCUCUGGCUCAGAACUGGUGUCACCCAGCAGGUCUAUCCAGCUGGGAAGCAGGACCCCCUCACCACUCCCUUUGCCACUCUUGCUUGACUGGAAGGAACCCUUUCUCCUCAGAAGAGAGUUCCUUCACCCCACCCUUGGAAAAUGACAUGAGGUGGUAUAGAACAACCUCUGGGUUCUGGCUGUGCCCCUUCUGGCUACUGCAAAAAAAAAAUUGACCCUGUCCUGUCUGGAGUCAGGAUAAAUGCAAAGCUGCCCAAUGUGCUCUGCUUGAGCAGGGACAUUGGACCAGACGACCCACCGUGGUCUCUUAAACACUGUGUGACUGGGUGAUAGUUAGGUAUUUCAUCAUGCAUAAGAGUGGUUUUAUUAUUGAUCUUUAUGUGAGCUUGAGAGUGCCAGUUAAUAAAAAGUCCUCAUGCACCAGGAGCUGUGCACAUGAUGAGGUAUCUUACCAAAUAUACAAAUGCAUAAAAUUAUUGCAGUCCCUAAAUACACUUCCUGAAUCCGCCUGAAAUGCAGUUUAUCAAGACUAACUAAAAAGACUUCUAUUGUCCUCUAAUUCUGUCUAAAAUGUCCGCUUUAUUUCUCUGGUAGUGCUCUCUAUUUCAAUCCCCAGCAUUCUUUAAUAUUCACAGCAGGGUUAGGGGUUCAUAUCGUUGUUUCAGCUAAUUGGUGCUGCAAUAAAAGAAUAUGAAACAUAAAAGGAUCCUGGAGGAGAAUGUUAUAAAAAGCAUCAGGGCAAAGUGUCUAAAUGGGCAUGUCUGGUAUAGAACACCUGUAGCCUUUAAUUUAGAGCCUCUCCAGUUCCUCUGGGGUGCUCCUAAGAGAGAUUUAAAACAUCCUCAUCACACUUGGCUGUGGGCAACUUUUCCUCCUUGUUCUUGGUGCACAUCAAAUGCAGCUUAACAGAUAUUCAAUGAUUUUAUGAAACACAUGAUGAAGGAGGAGGUCCUGAGUUUGCACCUUGCUCUUCUUUCCUGAUUAAAAAAGAUUUUCUUAACUGAUCUCACAGGAAACAAAAGCACUGAAAAUCUUGGUGCUUAGUUUUGAAUCUGGUUGCUGUGUGUCUCUGACAGGCACAGAAGAGGCUGCAACAGUAAGAGGGCUGACAAAAACCAGCCAGCUCUUCAUGAUUCCUAAUCCUUGCUGAUAUUGGGCUUCCAAAUAGCCAUAAGCAUUUUCCUGAUAUGUCCAAGCAGAGAAAUCUUGUCUGGCAAGAGUUUGAGAAUUCUAGAAAUUUGUCUGUAGUUUUCUUGGGUACUGUUUGUCCAUGCGAUUCAAGCAUGGUGAGUCUGACACGCACUGAUCUCAUGGCAUGCGGUCACAUAUUUUCGUCUAGAAAUUUUGUACAUAACUAGACUGGGGAGAGCACCAAACCAUGAUUUUUCUAUCUUUCUUCUAGUGGUCUUUCCACAGUGCCCUGAAAUACACUGGAAGGUGAGCUGAUCAUGGUAGGCUUCUUUGAGCCACAGUGACUGGAUGGCACAGCUGAGGUCCACAAGUAAAACAGAGCCUUUAACCCAGGCAUGAACUGUCAAAAAGCAUCUAAUCUAGAUGUUCACGAUUAUUGUUAUAAACUGUGAACAUAUUGAAAACAGAGAGAGAAGAGCAGUAUCACCUUUCUCUGUGUUGAAAAAUUUAAAUCUUUUCUCUCACUUCUUUGGCUUUAUUUUUUUUUUAAGUAAUUUGAUCUUCCUGUUGGAAAAAUUUGUGUUUUCUAAUAGUAAACUUACUUAUAUCCUUUGAGAAUUUCUAAAUGCAAGGGAUAUCAGCAAGCUUAACUACAGGGAGUGCAACUCUCUUUGCUUACUCAUUUGCAUCAUUUGUUUCUCCCUCUUUUACUAGAAAGAAGAUAUGUUUUACCUCCACUGGCAGGGAGAAUAGUAAAAAAAAAUUAGUCUGGAUUCCUGAGAUCUGUUUUCAGUUAAUAUUUUAAGGAAUACCCAAACUGAAAUAGUCACCAGUUUGCUGAUUGGUCCUCUUAUAGUUUGGAUAUAAACAUAUAUGUCUCAUUUUCUUAUCAGAAGAAUGCAGAUUAGAAUAUUUGAAGCAUAUAUUGCACAGUUGCAGGGUGUUUUGAUCUGCAUUUGUAAUGAGGGGAAUAGGAAGAGCAAAUGGCAGCUGAAUAAUCACCUCAGAUUCUUGAGAUGACUUGCACUGCUGCUUCUCUGCAGCUCUUGCUGCUCUCCCCAAAGGACAGGAAUGAAUCAGCUCUGGGAGGAUGUGAACCAUGUUUUCUGUGACAAAGCCUGCAUUUCCCAUCGUGUUACCACACUGAAGCAAAAUGACUUUUCAAAAGCUGCCUCAAAUGCAUUCUCACUCCUGACAGGUGCAAGCAUGGCAGUAGGGCCUUUUUAGGAAAUGGUGAGAGAAAUAAAGUUGUUUGUGUAGGUGGUAAACAAGCACAAGUAGGAACAUGUUUUACGCAUGUGGAGCUGGACUGUGCAACUUUCUCUUCUGAGAUGUUUUUCAGGCUAAAGAUUGAGCAAACCCAGGAAAGACUGGAUAUUUGUGUGGAUGAGAAGGUCAUCCUGAGCUGCAGUAGAACCAGGACGAAAACAGCACAGGCUGGAGGGGAGGUAGUGUGGGAUGAGGAUUCAUAAAUGGGACAGGAACUCCAGGAGUGUAGAGUGUAGCUUGGACUCUACUGCAGUCUUGGCUUCAUUAACCUGUUCUGAAAGAGGAGAACAAAGAAUCAAUUGAAAUAUGUAAGACUGGAAAGUUUAACAUACUACAGCACUUAACUACAGUCUGCAGAAUAUUUAAAGUGUGGUUCCACUCUGAAGUUGGCAAGCUGAGGCAAUACCUAUGUGGAGCAUUAAAGCCAUUGGAUGCUGCAUUUAUUCUGUGGAUAUAAAAUUUGCAAUGCUCGAUAUUUAUUGCCUCUGUGAUUUUUGUAUGAAAUUUACUCAGCUGAUAAAUAAAGGGAGAGAUUCUGGACCUACCCGUCUUCAAAUCCAGUUCCUCUUCUGACUGCCUUCACUGGAUCUGUGCAAGGUAGACAAACAACUUAUGAACUUCAGAAAAUUCACAGGCUUCUUGAAAGAAGAAAGCAGCUGCCAGGGGGUGACAGAAUUUUAGAGGGUCUCACACCUUUCAUGUGACAAACCUGUCUACGUAGCUGCAGACUGCAGAGUGAGGGCAUUUCCUGGUAGGCUGGAAUUCAGGGUACACACGCUCUGUCUAAAGGCUUUGGUCGCAUAUUCUGAUGGUCGGCUUCAUGAAAUAAAAUUGGUUUGGGUUUUUUCCAAGCAAACCAUAUUUUUAAUCAGUCAUAUUUUCUUUCCAUGAAAACACUGACUUUUUGUCAGAAUUAAGGAAAAUAACUCUCUGAAAAACUUUUUGAAAACCUAUUAAUUUUUUUUCAAAAUAUUUUCAUGGGCAUGGUCCUUCUUUUUUGAUCAACAUUAAUUUUAAGCUUAAUGUCUAGUUUCAGGAGACCAAAAGCUAGAGCAUCUGUCUAGCAGACUAACAGUGUCUGUGCAAGUAUAAUCACUUCCCUAAUCAAGCUCUCAAAAUGAAGGCCUAUGUGUUUUCUGCAUCUCACACAAGGAGGAACGUAAAGACUUUUAAAAAGAAAUCAAACUAUAUAGUAUGUUGGCCACGUGUAUUGAAACAAAAAUAUAAAUGUGAAAUCCCAACACAUCAUAAAUUAAAUGAAAUAUAUCCAAACUAAUUAAAACACAAAUAAAAAAUUAAAAAAAAAAAACUACAACAAAAUCAAAACACAACCCCCCCUCAUUUAUCUUAUUAACUUAUAACUCAGCUCGAGCAAAGUAGUUUCUAUUUCUUUGGUUUCCAUGAACACAAGAUUUUAUGAGUACUGAUAUCAAAUUACUACAUAUUAUCUGAAAGUGCAACAUAAGAUCUGUCUGGGCAGUCAGUAAGAUGUCAUUCAUUAUUGUUUCACCUUGGGGACUGGAUAUUCAAUCUCAGAAAAUAAACACUCAAUGUAUAUUUCAUCCAUGGGACAGGGCCUUCUGUUACAGCUUGCUUUCUGAUAUACAGCUCCUACCUGAUACCAGAUAAUGCAAAUCCUAUCAGAUUCACCUAUGUUGUAACUUACUCCUGAAAUACCCAAAAUAUUUAAUUCCCUUGAGCUGCUCAUUAAAAAGAAGGUUAAAACCAUGUUUUUCUGUUAAGUAUUGAUAUGUGAAGUGCUGCUCCUAUUUUGAAAGCUCAGUAAAUGUUUAAUGUCAGUUUUGUCUGAUCUUGUGUGUUCAUAAAUUGAGUUCUGUUGAUUCAUUUCCUCUGGCAGCACUGCAAAGUUUUGCUACCAAUAGGAUGAAAGAGGUCAAAUUUUAGUUCCUGGGCAAUUUCCCUUCUUGCCUAUCACUUUCACAGGCUUUUACAAUGUCACA